rnacentral:rRNA from 1 species
AAUAUUGGACAAUGGGGGCAACCCUGAUCCAGCCAUGCCGCGUGUGUGAAGAAGGGCUCCGGAGUGUAAAGCACUUUAAGUUGGGAGGCAGGGCUCUAGGUGAAUACUCUGAAGUUUUGACGGUACCAACAGAAUAAGCACCGGCUAACUCUGUUCCAGCAGCCGUGGUAAUACAGAGGGUGCAAGCGUUAAUCGGAAUUAGUGGGCGUAAAGCGGGCGUAGGUGGUGCAGUAAGAUGGGUGUGAAAACCCCGGGCUUAACCUGGGAACUGCUUUCAUAACUGCUGAGCUAGAGUACAGUAGAGGGUAGUGGAAUUUCCUGUGUAGCGGUGAAAUGCGUAGUUAUAGGAAGGAACACCAGUGGCGAAGGCGACUACCUGGACUGAUACUGACACUGAGGUGCGAAAGCGUGGGGAGCAAAC